CUUUCUACCCAGAGCACUUCUCUGAUAAGUUAAGUAAUAUCUUACAAUUUCAAGGAUUUUUGGAUAAAUAUCUAAGAAUUGGUGAGGUAGUGUAUCCAUAUUUGGUCAAAGAAUUUUAUAGGAAUUUGUCUACACAGAUUAAGAAAGGGGCACUAAUGUAAAAUCUAGUGUAAGGGGAACCCGAGUAGAAUUAAGUCCCAAGAAAUUAGCUAGUUGGUUUGACCUACCCAUGCGGGGCGCGGACACCUAUGAUAGAGAAAGUUGGAUAACUGCUGACUCCAUGGGAUACGAAGAAUAUUUGUUGUAAAUGACGGGUAGUGAAGAGGGGAUUACACAAGAUACCCGACCUGAGACUAGAGUAAAGAUUUAACGCAUUGAGCACGCAGAUAAGUCAAGAAUUCACCUCCCUUAAUCAAAGAGUGGUAGUCAUCGAAAAUAGGCUUGGAAUAGAGAAUUCUCCGGGAGCAGCUUAGCAAGGAUUGGAUCCAAGUAUUGUGUACCAUAGCGCAGCGCACCAUGGAAUUUUGGUAAAGGAGGUGAAGGAGAAAGCCAUAGUUGAAGAAGGAUGAGGGAUUCAUACUAGGAGCUAGCAAUCUCAAGGUAUAAUCCACGUGUUAUAUAAUGUUGUGAUGAAGAUUUGUGUGUUAUAUAAUGUUGUGAUGAAGAUUUAUGUGU